UACGGGGGGAGCAAGCGUUGUUCGGAUUUACUGGGCGUAAAGGGCGCGUAGGCGGCCACCGCAAGUCGAUUGUGAAAUCUCCGGGCUUAACCCGGAAAGGUCAACCGAUACUGCGGGGCUAGAGUGCAGAAGGGGCAACUGGAAUUCUCGGUGUAGCGGUGAAAUGCGUAGAUAUCGAGAGGAACACCUGCGGCGAAGGCGGGUUGCUGGGCUGACACUGACGCUGAGGAGCGAAAGCAUGGGGAGCGAACAGG
rnacentral:rRNA from 1 species